AGCGCAGGCCGCUGAAGGCGGUGGAGGGGGGGCUCGAGGUCACCCUGCCGGUGUACAACUCGCCGCUGCGCUA
rnacentral:tRNA from 1 species